rnacentral:rRNA from 1 species
UUUCUCCCUCAAACCCCCGGGUUUGGUGUUGAGCAAUACGCUAGGUUUGUUUGAAAGAAUUUACGUGGAAACUUAUUUUAAGCGACUUAGGUUUAUCCAAAACGCUUAUUUUGCUAGUGGCCACCACAAUUUAUUUCAUAACUUUGACCUCAAAUCAGGUAGGACUACCCGCUGAACUUAAGCAUAUCAAUAAGCGGAGGAAAAGAAACCAACAGGGAUUGCCUUAGUAGCGGCGAGUGAAGCGGCAAAAGCUCAAAUUUGAAAUCUGGCUCUUUCAGAGUCCGAGUUGUAAUUUGAAGAAGGUAUCUUUGGGUCUGGCUCUUGUCUAUGUUUCUUGGAACAGAACGUCACAGAGGGUGAGAAUCCCGUGCGAUGAGAUGAUCCAGGCCUAUGUAAAGUUCCUUCGAAGAGUCGAGUUGUUUGGGAAUGCAGCUCUAAGUGGGUGGUAAAUUCCAUCUAAAGCUAAAUAUUGGCGAGAGACCGAUAGCGAACAAGUACAGUGAUGGAAAGAUGAAAAGAACUUUGAAAAGAGAGUGAAAAAGUACGUGAAAUUGUUGAAAGGGAAGGGCUUGAGAUCAGACUUGGUAUUUUGUAUGUUACUUCUUCGGGGGUGGCCUCUACAGUUUAUCGGGCCAGCAUCAGUUUGGGCGGUAGGAGAAUUGCGUUGGAAUGUGGCACGGCUUCGGUUGUGUGUUAUAGCCUUCGUCGAUACUGCCAGCCUAGACUGAGGACUGCGGUUUAUACCUAGGAUGUUGGCAUAAUGAUCUUAAGUCGCCCGUCUUGAAACACGGACCAAGGAGUCUAACGUCUAUGCGAGUGUUUGGGUGUAAAACCCGUACGCGUAAUGAAAGUGAACGUAGGUGGGGGCCCGUAUGGGUGCACCAUCGACCGAUCCUGAUGUCUUCGGAUGGAUUUGAGUAAGAGCAUAGCUGUUGGGACCCGAAAGAUGGUGAACUAUGCCUGAAUAGGGUGAAGCCAGAGGAAACUCU